rnacentral:lncRNA from 1 species
CAAAUCUGUGAAGUUGUAGUCAUUGAAUCAGGCUCAUGGAUGAUAUACAAGGCAUGAACAUGCAUUGUGAAAAUUGACAUGUAAGAAAACUGUAACCAUUUACCCCAGAAUUAGAAUGAUCAGUGACACAAACAGGAAGAAAUACUGAUAGCAUUUGUACUUUGAUUUGCGUUUCACAUCAUAUCCUGGAGGAAUAUAUUUGCGAUUUACAUAUCCGUAUUGAGGGCGCAUUAAAAGGACAAAACCGAGGAAGAAUCCUGCCAAGAACCCUCCAACAUGAGCUGAAUUGUCCACAUGAGGUAGAAAUCCAACAGCCAAGUUUAGGCCAACAAUGAUCAAAAGGCUUGCAAGAGCUGCACACUGAAGUGAGUGUGGAUUAAAAUUUGUCUUUCUUCACUCUUUGGAAAAACCAGAACUAAUUCUCUCUCUUUGUUGUAGAUACAAAAUGGACACUAGCGGAAGUAAUGAACAGAUAAAAGAAAAUAGAGCAAAAGAGAAUAAUGAAAUGUGAGAAAACUUUCUCAACUUGAGAAGUAAAAUCCAUGUGACCUAGACUAGAAAAUGUCUCCACUAUGAAAAUAGGAUUAUAAUAUUGGUUUUUCUCACUUUGUGAAGAUAAUAUUUAAUCUCACCCAGCAAAGAUGGAAUACAAAGUCUCACUAGCAUCUCACUAGAAUAGAUAAUCACCAUAAUGUUGAGAUUAGAAAUCCUAGUAAGAUGCUAGAGAGACUUUGUAUUUCAUCAUUCUUGAGUGAAAUUUAGUGUUAUCCUCACAGAGUGAGAGAAACAACUACUCUAAUCCUACUUUCAUAAUGAAGACAUUUUCUAAAUAUGUUCCGUGAGUUCUUAUUUCUCAAGUUGAGAAGGUUUUCCUACUUGUCAUUAUUUUAUUUUACUUUAUUUUCUAUUAUCUGCUUAUUGCUUUUACAAAUGUCCAUUUUGUAUCUACACCAAAAAAUGAGAAUUAGUUCUGAUUUUCUUAAUAUUCACUGUCUUCCAAUGCUGACAGAUUAUAUAAAGUACCUUAUUUGCAUAGAUACUCCAGUUAGUUAGAAGCUCAGAAAGCAUGGCUCCCAGA